rnacentral:lncRNA from 1 species
AAAUACUUCCUUCUCCUCCACGACAGAUUGGAUGAGAUCUAAAACUAAAAUCCAUCCAAGUCCCUACCCCAAAAAUCCCCUUCUUCUCCACGGCAGAUUGGAUGAGAUAAUCAAACUAAAAUCCAUCCAAGUCCCUACCCCAAAAAUCCCCUUCUUCUAUCAGUACUCUCCAUUCCGAUAUAUAUAUAUAUAUAUAUAUAUAUAUAUAUAUAUAUAUAUAN